rnacentral:rRNA from 1 species
AACAGAGCCGGCAAGCGUUAUUCACGAUAACUGGGUGUAAAGGGUGAGUAGGCGGAUCUUUGGCAACCUUAUAAAAAAUGCUUGUGUUUCGGCACACUUUUUAAUAUAGGUAACUCUGAUCUAUAGAGAUAUGCAGAGGUUAGUGGAAACGGCUCGAGUGUCCAUGUCUCGAUUAGAGAUCAGACAUACGGUACCUCCGUAGGCGAAGGCGACUAUCCAGGCAUAAUCUGACGCUGAGGUCACGAAACGUAGGAUAACGAAAUGG